UGACGGAAAGAUAGCAAGAUGAAGUGGAGUGUUUUAGUGACUGUUACCAACCGCGCUGUGUAAAACGGUUGAGCCUGUACAAGGCGGCAGGCAAGGGAGUCUUUGUCACGGUGUGACUAUCACGACGUCGUGGGAACGCAGUCUCGCCUAAGUUGGAUAUGCGUUAAUUUUCGCUCAAGAACGGCAGGCUAGACCGUAAAUCGUGAGGCGGCAGGUGUACAAGACAGUGAAGAACAUGGUCGUCGAAAAACUCAGUGAUUGAAGAAAAUUUCCCCCCUGCGUUGUGCGCUGUUCGUUGUUUGGACGUUGCGAGAACGAGCCUCCAUGGAUUACGGUAGUGUGUGUUGGUGAUGAACGUAGGUACGCCUUCAAAGACGCGUAAGUGCUGAAUUGAGUAUUUGUUCGUGCUAUUUAUUGUUUCGUGUGGUUUCUCAGUUCCAUGAAUACUCACACAUGUGCAAGUCAUUUGAAAUAACUUUUCGUUUUUGUGUCUUGCUAUUUGUCAUAGUUUCACACCUACUGUAUUGUUAUGUGAACAAUAAAUUUUCACGAAGAAACCA